UUCCCAUGACCUCCUCCACUUGACUGGGGAGCUAUGCCAUCUUGCCCCACUAGAAUUAAGCUCCUUGAGGGCAGGGCU
rnacentral:miRNA from 1 species